rnacentral:rRNA from 1 species
GGAUUGCGANUGGGCGAAAGCCUGACGCAGCGACGCCGCGUGGGGGAUGAAGGCCUUCGGGUUGUAAACCCCUUUCAGCAGGGACGAAGCGAAAGUGACGGUACCUGCAGAAGAAGCGCCGGCUAACUACGUGCCAGCAGCCGCAGUAACACGUAGGGCGCAAGCGUUGUCCGGAAUUAUUGGGCGUAAAGAGCUCGUAGGCGGUCUGUUGCGUCCGCUGUGAAAACUCGGGGCUUAACCCCGAGCCUGCAGUGGAUACGGGCAGACUAGAGGUAGGUAGGGGAGAAUGGAAUUCCCGGUGUAGCGGUGAAAUGCGCAGAUAUCGGGAGGAACACCGGUGGCGAAGGCGGUUCUCUGGGCCUUACCUGACGCUGAGGAGCGAAAGCGUGGGGAGCAAACAGGAUUAGAUACCCUGGUAGUCCACGCCGUAAACGUUGGGCGCUAGGUGUGGGAUCCUUCCACGGAUUCCGUGCCGCAGCUAACGCAUUAAGCGCCCCGCCUGGGGAGUACGGCCGCAAGGCUAAAACUCAAAAGAAUUGACGGA